rnacentral:tRNA from 1 species
GCCUGUGUGGCUCAGUCAGUUGAGCAUCUGACUUCAAUUCAGGUCAUGAUCUCACAGUUCGUGGGUUUGAACCCCACAUCAGGCU